GACGAACGCUGGCGGCGUGCUUAACACAUGCAAGUCGAACGGAAAGGCCCUGCUUUUGUGGGGUGCUCGAGUGGCGAACGGGUGAGUAACACGUGAGUAACCUGCCCUUGACUUUGGGAUAACUUCAGGAAACUGGGGCUAAUACCGGAUAGGAGCUCCUGCUGCAUGGUGGGGGUUGGAAAGUUUCGGCGGUUGGGGAUGGACUCGCGGCUUAUCAGCUUGUUGGUGGGGUAGUGGCUUACCAAGGCUUUGACGGGUAGCCGGCCUGAGAGGGGGACCGGCCACGUUGGGACUGGGAUACGGCCCAGACUCCUACGGGAGGCAGCAGUGGGGAAUAGUGCACAAUGGGCGGAAGCCUGAUGCAGCAACGCCGCGUGCGGGAUGACGGCCUUCGGGUUGGAAACCGCUUUCGCCUGUGACGAAGCGUGAGUGACGGUAAUGGGUAAAGAAGCACCGGCUAACUACGUG
rnacentral:rRNA from 1 species